UGGGGAAUAUUGCACAAUGGAGGGAACUCUGAUGCAGCGACGCCGCGUGAGUGAUGAAGGAAUUCGUUUCGUAAAACUCUGUUCUAUGGGAAGAAAAGGACUGUAUUAUAGGAGAAAGCUCCGGCUAAAUACGUGUCAGCAGCCGCGGUAAUACGUAUGGAGCGAGCGUUGUCCGGAAUUAUUGGGCGUAAAGGGUGCGCAGGCGGCUUUACAAGUUGGAUGUGAAAUAUUGUGGCUCAACCACAAACGUGCAUCCAAAACUGCAAAGCUUGAGUUAAGGAGAGGUAAGUGGAAUUCCUGGUGUAGCGGUGGAAUGCGUAGAUAUCAGGAGGAAUACCGGUGGCGAAGGCGACUUACUGGACUUAAACUGACGCUCAGGCACGAAAGCGUGGGGAGCAAACAGG
rnacentral:rRNA from 1 species